UACGUAGGGUGCAAGCGUUGUCCGGAAUUAUUGGGCGUAAAGAGCUCGUAGGCGGUUCGUCGCGUCGGCUGUGAAAACCUGAGGCUCAACCUCAGGCCUGCAGUCGAUACGGGCGGACUUGAGUACUGCAGGGGAGACUGGAAUUCCUGGUGUAGCGGUGAAAUGCGCAGAUAUUAGGAGGAACACCGGUGGCGAAGGCGGGUCUCUGGGCAGUAACUGACGCUGAGAAGCGAAAGCGUGGGGAGCGAACAGG
rnacentral:rRNA from 1 species